rnacentral:lncRNA from 1 species
AUUUCUCUCGAGUUUCUCUCUGUUGUAGCGAAAUCGACCAUUACGAUUAAUUGUGCUACUGUUUGAUCAUUCUUUGUUUGAAAACAUAGCUUUCAUGAGCUUGUUUAGAGUGUCUUUAAUUUAAAGAAACUAAUUUACAAUGCCAAGCUCCAUCUAACUCAUACUCUCCUUAAUCAUCCUAGCUCUACUUUAAAAUUUUUAAUUUGUUCCUUAUUAACUGUCUUUAUA